CCUACGGGAGGCAGCAGUAGGGAAUUUUCGUCAAUGGGCGCAAGCCUGAACGAGCAAUGCCGCGUGAACGAGGAAGGUCUUCGGAUCGUAAAGUUCUGUUGAAGGGAAGAAGUUGCAUGGGGCCAAUCACCUGUGCAUUGACGGUACCUUCAAAGGAAGCACCGGCUAACUCCGUGCCAGCAGCCGCGGUAAUACGGAGGGUGCGAGCGUUAAUCGGAAUUACUGGGCGUAAAGCGCACGUAGGCUGUAUGUCAAGUCAAGGGUGAAAUCCCACGGCUCAACCGUGGAACUGCCUUUGAAACUGGCAAACUGGAGUAUGUGAGAGGGUGGCGGAAUUCCUGGUGUAGGAGUGAAAUCCGUAGAUAUCAGGAGGAACAUCAGUGGCGAAGGCGGCCGCCUGGCACAAAACUGACGCUGAGGUGCGAAAGCGUGGGUAGCAAACAGGAUUAGAUACCCGGGUAGUC
rnacentral:rRNA from 1 species